rnacentral:rRNA from 1 species
GACGAACGCUGGCGGCGUGCUUAACACAUGCAAGUCGAGGGGCAGCAUUAUCUUAGCUUGCUAAGAUAGAUGGCGACCGGCGCACGGGUGAGUAACACGUAUCCAACCUUCCGGUUACUCGGGGAUAGGCUUUCGAAAGAAAGAUUAAUACCCGAUGUUGCGUAUCUUUCUCCUGAAAGAUACGCCAAAGGAUUCCGGUAACCGAUGGGGAUGCGUUCCAUUAGGCAGUUGGCGGGGUAACGGCCCACCAAACCUUCGAUGGAUAGGGGUUCUGAGAGGAAGGUCCCCCACAUUGGAACUGAGACACGGUCCAA